rnacentral:rRNA from 1 species
CGAAGGGGGCUAGCGUUGCUCGGAAUUACUGGGCGUAAAGGGCGCGUAGGCGGACAGUUUAGUCAGAGGUGAAAGCCCAGGGCUCAACCCUGGAAUUGCCUUUGAUACUGGCUGUCUUGAGUACGGGAGAGGUGUGUGGAACUCCGAGUGUAGAGGUGAAAUUCGUAGAUAUUCGGAAGAACACCAGUGGCGAAGGCGACACACUGGCCCGUUACUGACGCUGAGGCGCGAAAGCGUGGGGAGCAAACAGGAUUAGAUACCCUGGUAGUCCACGCCGUAAACGAUGAGUGCUAGUUGUCGGCAUGCAUGCAUGUCGGUGACGCAGCUAACGCAUUAAGCACUCCGCCUGGGGAGUACGGUCGCAAGAUUA